rfam:Trypanosoma cruzi Dm28c contig00135, whole genome shotgun sequence.
AGACUCUGUAACCUCCUUGUGCGAGGGGCUUGGGUAUCGAGCGGCGAAAGUGUGGACAAGCGAAAGCUCUGCUGCGUAGACUUGGUGUUCUGCUUGGUUGCGCGUCGGUUCCAAUCAUGAAGGUGCCACUGAAGAGAGGCUCCUUCAAACCGUUAAAGCAAAGGAAACGUGUCAGGCCGGAAACGGAGCAGCUCACCUUGCGCGCGUUGCCGUUGCAGAAGCACACCGAGGAGCAAGUCAGGUCUUCUCGCCCCACGCGU